rnacentral:lncRNA from 1 species
AUCUUCAUGUUCCUGGGUAUCUCGGCCGUGAACCCGUUCAUCUGGACCUGGAACACGGCCUUCGUGCUCCUGACGCUGGUCUUCAUCUCCGUGUACCGGGCCAUCGUGUGGUCCUGCAGACCUGGCUUCUGAACCGCUACCGCAUGGUGCAGCUGGAGCCCAUUGACCAGGUGGUCCUGUCCUACGGGGGCCUGCGCGGGGCCGUGGCCUUUGCCCUGGUGGUGCUUCUGGAUGGAGACAAGGUCAAGGAGAAGAACCUGUUCGUCAGCACCACCAUCAUCGUAGUGUUCUUCACCGUCAUCUUCCAGGCCUGACCAUCAAGCCUCUGGUGCAGUGGCUGAAGGUGAAGAGGAGCGAGCACCGGGAACCUCGGCUCAACGAGAAGCUGCACGGGCGGCUUUCGACCACAUCCUCUCGGCCAUCGAGGACAUAUCCGGACAGAUCGGGCACAAUUAUCUCAGAGACAGUGGUCCCACUUCGACAGGAAGUUCCUCAGCAGGGUCCUCAUGAGACGGUCGGCCCAGAAGUCUCGAGACCGGAUCCUGAAUGUCUUCCACGAGCUGAACCUGAAGGAUGCCAUCAGCUACGUGGCUGAGGAGAGCGCCGCGGGUCCCUGGCCUUCAUCCGCUCCCCCAGCACCGACAACGUGGUCAACGUGGACUUCACGC